AAGCUGUUCAACCAAAGACAGUAGGUGCCGUAUGGCAUAAGUUUAACCGCCUACCGAGGAAUGAGCAUGGUAAUUUAAUUGCUUAUGUUGUGCAUUCCGUGGGUAACGGGGUGCACUUUUUUGUUUU
rnacentral:sRNA from 1 species